GGCGACUCGCGCGACACCUUCAACCUCCUGGAGCAGCGCCCCAAGAUCGCCAACCGCCAUGGCCGCCUCUACGAGGCCGACGCCCGUAGCUUCCACGCCCUCGCCCAACACGACGUCCGCGUCGCCGUGGCCAACAUCACGCCGGUACGUCACCACGCUUAAUAAUUAGGCUCCUCGUCUCGUCGACCGGCGAUGGCACUUGAUAUCGUGAUUUGUCACUCAACUGUUGCUUACACGCAUGCAUGUGUCGAUCUGCAGGGUUCUAUGACCGCGCCCUACCUGAACACCCAGUCGUUCAAGCUCGCCGUCGUGCUGGAAGGCGAGGGCGAGGUGGAGAUCGUCUGCCCGCACCUCGGCCGCGACAGCGAGCGCCGCGAGCAAGAGCACGGCAAGGGCAGGUGGAGGAGCGAGGAAGAGGAGGACGACCGGCGGCAGCAACGCCGACGCGGGUCCGGCUCCGAGUCGGAGGAGGAGCAGGACCAGCAGAGGUACGAGACGGUCCGCGCGCGGGUGUCGCGCGGCUCGGCGUUCGUGGUGCCCCCCGGCCACCCGGUGGUGGAGAUCGCCUCGUCCCGCGGCAGCAGCAAC
rnacentral:lncRNA from 1 species